GAUGAACGCUGGCGGCGUGCCUAAUACAUGCAAGUCGAGCGAAUGGAUUAAGAGCUUGCUCUUAUGAAGUUAGCGGCGGACGGGUGAGUAACACGUGGGUAACCUGCCCAUAAGACUGGGAUAACUCCGGGAAACCGGGGCUAAUACCGGAUAACAUUUUGAACCGCAUGGUUCGAAAUUGAAAGGCGGCUUCGGCUGUCACUUAUGGAUGGACCCGCGUCGCAUUAGCUAGUUGGUGAGGUAACGGCUCACCAAGGCAACGAUGCGUAGCCGACCUGAGAGGGGGAUCGGCAACACGGGGACUGAGACACGGCCCAGACUCCUACGGGAGGCAGCAGUAGGGAAUCUUCCGCAAUGGACGAAAGUCUGACGGAGCAACGCCGCGUGAGUGAUGAAGGCUUUCGGGUCGUAAAACUCUGUUGUUAGGGAAGAACAAGUGCUAGUUGAAUAAGCUGGCACCUUGACGGUACCUAACCAGAAAGCCACGGCUAACUACGUGCCAGCAGCCGCCGUAA
rnacentral:rRNA from 1 species